CUCUCUCCCUCACUUGAAAUUUUCGGCCAACUCACCUCUCUCCCUCACACACAUUUUCGCCCAACACACACUCAUCUCCUUCAUCUCUCAUUUCCACCAUUUUCCUCCAUUGAUGAAAACCUUCGAAGCUUCCAAAAAUAUUACCAAACACCUCAAACCACUCUAAUAUCUUCCAUAAACACAUUCUAGCCACUUUUAAUCAAGAGAAUCCUUGAAGAAGAGCUCCAAAGUUAGAG
rnacentral:lncRNA from 1 species